UACGUAGGGUGCAAGCGUUGUCCGGAAUUAUUGGGCGUAAAGAGCUCGUAGGCGGUUUGUCGCGUCUGCUGUGAAAUCCCGAGGCUCAACCUCGGGCUUGCAGUGGGUACGGGCAGACUAGAGUGCGGUAGGGGGGAUUGGAAUUCCUGGUGUAGCGGUGGAAUGCGCAGAUAUCAGGAGGAACACCGAUGGCGAAGGCAGAUCUCUGGGCCGUAACUGACGCUGAGGAGCGAAAGCGUGGGGAGCGAACAGG
rnacentral:rRNA from 1 species